CACCACAGCAUAAAGCUUUCAUCAAGACCAUGGGGACUGACUCAAACCUGGGGCACAUACAUGUCUAAACAGUGCACUCUGCAAUUGCUCCUCAGUUCUUGCCUCCUAAUUAACCAAAUGGGAAAACUGAAGGAAGGAAAAGAGCUCACUAAGGCCCAUAACUUGACAGCAAAGGAACAGACAAAAGAAUUGCAGAACCAACA